UACAGAGGUGGCAAGCGUUGUUCGGAAUUACUGGGCGUAAAGGGCGCGUAGGCGGCCUUCUAAGUCAGACGUGAAAUCCCCCGGCUUAACCUGGGAACUGCGUCUGAUACUGGGAGGCUUGAGUAUGGGAGAGGGAUGUAGAAUUCCAGGUGUAGCGGUGAAAUGCGCAGAUAUCAGGAGGAACACCGGUGGCGAAGGCGGGUCUCUGGGCCGAUACUGACGCUGAGGAGCGAAAGCGUGGGGAGCAAACAGG
rnacentral:rRNA from 1 species